GGCGAGUGAAGCGGGAAGAGCUCAAAUUUGAAAUCUGGUGGCCUCAGGUCAUCCGAGUUGUAAUCUAUAGAAGUGUUUUCCGUGCUGGCUCAUGUACAAGUCCCUUGGAACAGGGCGUCAUAGAGGGUGAGAAUCCCGUCCUUGACAUGAACUACCAGUGCUCUGUGAUACAUUUUCAACGAGUCGAGUUGUUUGGGAAUGCAGCUCAAAAUGGGUGGUAAAUUCCAUCUAAAGCUAAAUAUUGGCGAGAGACCGAUAGCGAACAAGUACCGUGAGGGAAAGAUGAAAAGCACUUUGGAAAGAGAGUUAAACAGUAUGUGAAAUUGUUGAAAGGGAAACGAUUGAAGUCAGUCGUGCUCUUUGGAUUCAGCCGGUUCUGCCGGUGUACUUCCUUUGAGUGGGGUCAACAUCAGUUUUGAUCGCUGGAUAAAGGCUGGAGGAACGUAGUACCCUCGGGUAAACUUAUAGCCUCCUGUCACAUACAGUGGUUGGGACUGAGGAACGCAGCACGCCUUUAUGGCCGGGAUUCGUCCACGUACGUGCUUAGGAUGUUGACAUAAUGGCUUUAAACGACCCGUCUUGAAACACG
rnacentral:rRNA from 1 species